CUAAGUAAAAGCGAUAAGUGAUCCACCUGAGAAGUACGAUCGCAAGAUUGAAACUCAAAGGAAUUGACGGGGUUCUGUACAAGCGGUGGAGCAUGUGGUUUAAUUCGAUGAUACGCGAGGAACCUUACCAAGUCUUAAAUGUAUUCCGAAUAAGUUGGAAACAAUUUAGUCUAUAAGACGUAAUACAAGGUGCUGCAUGGUUGUCUUCAGUUCGUGCUGUGAAGUGUUUGGUUAAGUCCUAUAACGAGCGAAACCCUUAUUGUUAGUUGCCAUCGGGUAAAGCCGGGGACUCUAACAAAACUGCCGGUGUAAAUUGUGAGGAAGGUGGGGAUUAUGUCAAAUCAUCAUGGCCUUUAUGUCUUGGGCUACACACGUGCUACAAUGGCUGGUACAACGGGCAGCCACUGGGUGACCAGGAGCUAAUCUCUAAAACCAGUCUAAGUUCGGAUUGGAGUCUGCAAUUCGACUCUAUAAAGAUGGAAUCGCUAGUAAUCGCGCAUCAGCAAUGGCG
rnacentral:rRNA from 1 species